AAACAGUAUUAGCUGUGAGGAUGCUAAGCGUGGUAGUGUUAAAAGUACCGGGUCAGAGGGCAGUGCUACUGGACAUUUUUCUCUACUGGCUGUGGACCUGAAGAACUUCAAGGCUCUGUGGAAUGAAGAGGUUUAUCAGAACAGAGAGAGAUGGAAGACACAGGCCACUAAAGAGACACAGGAGAAGGCCAGAAGGGAGGCUGAGGAGGAGAGAGUCCUGCAGGAAGACACUAUGGAACCCCAGGAGAGAGUCCUGCAGGAAGACACUAUGGAACCCCAGGAGAGAGAAAUUGAAACAGAGCUGGGAGAUACAGAGUCACAGGAGGGAGAGGGAGAGGAAGAGGAAGAGGGAGAGGAAGAAGAGGUGGAGGGAGUGGGAGAAGAGGAGAGUAAAGUGCCAGAGGAGCUCAACUUACGUCAGGACAAAUGCACAGUGAAGACCGAAGAGAGAGAUGGAGUGAGGACAGGAGAGAGGGAUGGAGUGAGGACACAGACUGGAAGUGCAGCAGACACCAGCCCACCAUUACAGAAGUCGGUAGAUCUGCACUAGGAUCAAGCAGCAGACCAGGAGGCUGAAGCUCUAACGCUCUCUACUGGACAGAGACUAUUACAUGUCAUCCCUCCAUCCUCCAUCUGCUGUUUCUUAUCAUAUGUAGAGCACGUAAGAGCCAACCUCG